rnacentral:rRNA from 1 species
GACGAACGCUGGCGGCGUGCUUAACACAUGCAAGUCGAACGAAGAGAGGUGGAAGCUUGUUUCUAUCCGUCUUAGUGGCGAACGGGUGAAUAACGCGUAUACAACCUGUACUUCAGAGGGGGAACACAGUGAGACACGAGUGCUAAUACCGCAUACGAUCUAAUCUCGGCAUCGAAGAUAGAUGAAAGGUGGUCUCGACAUGUAAGCUAACACUGCAGGAGGGGAUUGCGUCUGAUUAGCUAGCUGGAUGGGUAACGGCCCACCCAAGCGAUGAUCGGUAGCCGGUCUGGGAGGGUGGAUGGCCACAUCGGGACUGGGACGCGGCCCAGACUCCUACCGGGGGGAGCAGUGAGGAAAUUUCCGCAAUUGAGGGAAGUCUGGCGGAGCAACGCCGCGUGAGUGAUGACGGCUUUCGGGUUGUAAAGCUCGGUUAAUCGGGACGAAAGGACUGCUUGCGAAUAGAUAGAAGUAUUGACGGUACCGGAAUAGAAAGCCACGGCUAACUACGUG